ACGCUGGCGGCAUGCCUCAUACAUGCAAGUCGAACGAAGUCUUCGGACUUAGUGGCGCACGGGUGAGUAACAUGUGGGAAUCUACCUAAAGGUUCGGAAUAACUGCGGGAAACUGUAGCUAAUACCGGAUGUGUCUGCAAAGAGAAAGAUUUAUCGCCUUUAGAUGAGCCCGCACUAGAUUAGCUAGUUGGUGAGGUAAUUGCUCCACCAAGGCUACGAUCUAUAGCUGAUUUGAGAGGAUGAUCAGCCACACUGGGACUGAGACACGGCCCAGACUCCUACGGGAGGCAGCAGUAGGGAAUAUUGGACAAUGGGGGAAACCCUGAUCCAGCAAUGCCGCGUGAGUGAAGAAGGCCCUCGGGUUGUAAAACUCUUUCAUCAAUGAUGAUAAUGACAUUAGUUGAAGAAGAAGCUCCGGCUAACUUCGUGCCAGCAGCCGCGGUAAUACGAAGGGGGCUAGCGUUGUUCGGAAUCACUGGGCGUAAAGCGUAUGUAGGCGGAUCAAAAAGUUAGAUGUGAAAUCCCUGGGCUCAACCCAGGAACUGCAUUUAAAACUAGUGAUCUAGAAUUUGGUAAAGGUUAGUAGAAUUUCCAGUGUAGAGGUGAAAUUCGUAGAUAUUGGAAAGAAUACCAGAAGCGAAGGCGACUAACUAGGCCAUUUUUGACGCUGAGAUACGAAAGCGUGGGUAGCAAACAGGAUUAGAUACCCUGGUAGUCCACGCAGUAAACGAUGAGUGCUAGUCGCUGGGACAUUAGUUUCAGUGUCGAAGCUAACGCAUUAAGCACUCCGCCUGGGAAGUACGGU
rnacentral:rRNA from 1 species